rnacentral:tRNA from 1 species
UAGCUCAGUUGGUAGAGCACCACCUUGCCAAGGUGGCUGUCGCGAGUUCGAGUCUCG